UGACUGCUAGUAUAAACUACUCAAGGGGUUACUUAAAGAAACUUAAAAUUAAGGUCUUGACAUAAUGGUUAUUCAAAUCAAUGUCACAUACUUAGGGAGUUUAGGGUGUUAGGACGGUACCAAUAUUAUCGACAUUUUCCCAAGUUUAUCUAACAAAGCCUAAAAAGUAGAAACAGACUAUACUAAAGACGUGUCAUGCCAUUGAAUCAGAACAAAAAAUUUCAUUAUUGGGGGUCAAAUCUAAGGGAAU
rnacentral:lncRNA from 1 species